rnacentral:rRNA from 1 species
GAUGAACGCUGGCGGCGUGCCUAAUAUAUGCAAGUCGAACGCACAGCGAAAGGUGCUUGCACCUUUCAAGUGAGUGGCGAACGGGUGAGUAACACGUGGAUAACCUACCUCAAGGUUGGGGAUAACAUUUGGAAACAGAUGCUAAUACCGAAUAAAACUUAGUAUCGCAUGAUACCAGGUUAAAAGGCGCUACGGCGUCACCUAGAGAUGGAUCCGCGGUGCAUUAGUUAGUUGGUGGGGUAAAGGCUUACCAAGACAAUGAUGCAUAGCCGAGUUGAGAGACUGAUCGGCCACAUUGGGACUGAGACACGGCCCAAACUCCUACGGGAGGCUGCAGUAGGGAAUCUUCCACAAUGGGCGAAAGCCUGAUGGAGCAACGCCGCGUGUGUGAUGAAGGCUUUCGGGUCGUAAAGCGCUGUUGUAUGGGAAGAACAGCUAGAGUAGGGAAUGACUUUAGUUUGACGGUACCAUACCAGAAAGGGACGGCUAAAUACGUGCCAGCAGCCGCGGUAAUACGUAUGUCCCGAGCGUUAUCCGGAUUUAUUGGGCGUAAAGCGAGCGCAGACGGUUAAUUAAGUCUGAUGUGAAAGCCCGGAGCUCAACUCCGGAAAGGCAUUGGAAACUGGUUAACUUGAGUGCAGUAGAGGUAAGUGGAACUCCAUGUGUAGCGGUGGAAUGCGUAGAUAUAUGGAAGAACACCAGCGGCGAAGGCGGCUUACUGGACUGUAACUGACGUUGAGGCUCGAAAGUGUGGGUAGCAAACAGGAUUAGAUACCCUGGUAGUCCACACCGUAAACGAUGAACACUAGGUGUUAGGAGGUUUCCGCCUCUUA